rnacentral:misc_RNA from 1 species
UCGUUUUGACCAGUAAUAAGAGCAACCCGCACCUGGAAGGACGUGACAUUUUGUUCCACUACAGCUUCUGGAGAAAUUAAGCGCACGCGACCCUUAAAAACUUGGUCGGGGAAGGAAUCAGCGACAAUUUCCACCUGCUGUCCCUGUUUAAUUUGUCCAAUAUCGACUUCUGGGACUUGAGCAAGUACCUCUAAACCCCUGGCGAUCGCCACAAUCGAAGUUGAGGUAGCUGAUGCUGUACUGGAAGCCGAAGUUGUCGGUGUAACAAAAGCGCCUUCUGUGGCAUAUUUCUGCGUGACCACACCAGAAAAGGGAGCGCGGAUAAUAGUGUCUUCGAGCUUAACUUGCACGGCCUUCAC